UAGAGAGAGNUCAAGAGUACGUGAAACCGUUCAGGGGUAAACCUGAGAAACCCGAAAGAUCGAAUGGGGAGAUUCAUCGUCAGCGACGUCGGCUUCGCGGCGGCUCGCGAUGCGCGCGGCUCCCGUGAGGGCGUCGCCGCACGCGUCCGUCGUGCAACCCGUACAUGUCCGGCGGCGUCGGCGUGCACUUCUCCCCUAGUAGGACGUCGCGACCCGUUGGGUGUCGGUCUACGGCCCGGGUAGUCGCCUGUCCCGCCGCUUCGGCGUCGCGUGGCAGACUCCCGGCAGCCCGGCCGGCUGCCCGGCGGUACUCGCACGGUAUCUGGCCGCAAUCGAACUGCGUCCGAGGCCCGCCGCAAGCGCGGUCAGUGUAAACCCGGAGGUACGGACCUAGCGCCGUCCCCGGGCCUGGCCCGCUGUUCGCCCGAGCGGUGCCCUCCGACAGGCCACGCUGGCGCGCGUCUCGCGCGCGCGUCGCCCUUGAUACCGGUCGGCGACGCUACUGCUUUGGGUACUUUCAGGACCCGUCUUGAAACA
rnacentral:rRNA from 1 species